rnacentral:rRNA from 1 species
AAUGAACGUUGGCGGCGUGGAUUAGGCAUGCAAGUCGUGCGCGAUUUUACGGAUUGAAACUUCGGUCGAUUGAAGUAAAUGAAAGCGGCGAAAGGGAGAGUAACGCGUGGAUAUCUGCCCUUGGCUCCAGGAUAGCUACGGGAAACUGUAGGUAAUACUGGAUAAUAUCUCCGGAUCAAAGGUGUGAUUCCGGCCGAGGAUGAGUCCGCGUCCUAUUAGGUAGUUGGCGGGGUAAUGGCCCACCAAGCCGAAGAUGGGUACCGGGUGUGAGAGCAUGGCCCGGCUCACUGGGACUGAGACACUGCCCAGACGUCUACGGAUGGCUGCAGUCGAGAAUCUUCCGCAAUGGACGAAAGUCUGACGGAGCGACGCCGCGUGCGGGAUGAAGGCCUUCGGGUUGUAAACCGCUGUCAGUUGGGAGGAAAUGUUAUGGGGUUCUCUCCAUAGCUUGACCGAUCUUCAGAGGAAGUACGGGCUAAGUACGUGCCAGCAGCCGCGGUAAUACGUACCGUACGAACGUUAUUCGGAAUUACUGGGCUUAAAGAGUUCGUAGGCGGCUUUAAAGGUGAGGUGUGAAAGCCCACGGCUCAACCGUGGAACUGCGCUUCAAACCAUAAGGCUAGAGG